AGUGAACGCUGGCGGUAGGCCUAACACAUGCAAGUCGAACGGCAGCACAGUAAGAGCUUGCUCUUACGGGUGGCGAGUGGCGGACGGGUGAGGAAUACAUCGGAAUCUACUUUUUCGGGGGGGAUAACGUAGGGAAACUUACGCUAAUACCGCAUACGACCUACGGGUGAAAGCAGGGGAUCUUCGGACCUUGCGCGAUUGAAUGAGCCGAUGUCGGAUUAGCUAGUUGGCGGGGUAAAGGCCCACCAAGGCGACGAUCCGUAGCUGGUCUGAGAGGAUGAUCCGCCACACUGGAACUGAGACACGGUCCAGACUCCUACGGGAGGCAGCAGUGGGGAAUAUUGGACAAUGGGCGCAAGCCUGAUCCAGCCAUACCGCGUGGGUGAAGAAGGCCUUCGGGUUUUAAAGCCCUUUUGUUGGGAAAGAAAAGCAGCAGGUUAAUACCCCGCUGUUCUGACGGUACCCAAAGAAUAAGCACCGGCUAACUUCGUG
rnacentral:rRNA from 1 species